GGUGGGUUCAGCGACUGGGGCUAAGUCGUAACAAGGUAGCAGUAGGUGAACCUGCAGAAGGAUCA
rnacentral:rRNA from 1 species